rnacentral:miRNA from 1 species
AUCGUGCAGCCUUUUAGAGUG